rnacentral:lncRNA from 1 species
UUUGCUCUUGCAUGUGGGCCCUCUUAACCGUCGUGUCUGCGUUAAGUGUUCUUCUGUGUGGUUCGUCCGUGUUUGCGCACGUUUCCUCUUUUGUACAGACUUGUAUCCAUGAAAUUACUUAUUUGUCAAUACAUGUGGAACUAGGUUAUUGAUAACAAAUAUGAGAGUACGGAAUGUUAUUUUUUCUUUAUUCUUUGAGUAGUGUGAUAUUCGAAUUUCUGUCAUAA